rnacentral:rRNA from 1 species
CAGCCGCCGCGGGAAUACGGAGGGUGCAAGCGUUAAUCGGAAUUACUGGGCGUAAAGCGCACGCAGGCGGUCUGACAAGUCAGAUGUGAAAUCCCCGGGCUUAACCUGGGAACUGCAUUUGAAACUGUCAGGCUGGAGUCUUGUAGAGGGUGGUAGAAUUCCAGGUGUAGCGGUGAAAUGCGUAGAGAUCUGGAGGAAUACCGGUGGCGAAGGCUGCCCCCUGGACAAAGACUGACGCUCAGGUGCGAAAGCGUGGGGAGCAAACAGGAUUAGAUACCCCUGUAGUCCCUGUCUCUUAUAC